rnacentral:rRNA from 1 species
CCUACGGGGGGCUGCAGUGGGGAAUAUUGGACAAUGGGGGGAACCCUGAUCCAGCCAUGCCGCGUGUGUGAAGAAGGCCCUCGGGUUAUAAAGCACUUUCAGUGAGGAAGAACGCCUGGUGGUUAAUACCCAUCAGGAAAGACAUCACUCACAGAAGAAGCACCGGCUAACUCCGUGCCAGCAGCCGCGGUAAUACGGAGGGUGCGAGCGUUAAUCGGAAUUACUGGGCGUAAAGCGCGCGUAGGUGGCUUGAUAAGCCGGUUGUGAAAGCCCCGGGCUCAACCUGGGAACGGCAUCCGGAACUGUCAAGCUAGAGUGCAGGAGAGGAAGGUAGAAUUCCCGGUGUAGCGGUGAAAUGCGUAGAGAUCGGGAGGAAUACCAGUGGCGAAGGCGGCCUUCUGGACUGACACUGACACUGAGGUGCGAAAGCGUGGGUAGCAAACAGGAUUAGAUACCCCUGUAGUC